GUUUGCUUUUUCAGGCAGAAAAAGAAGCUAAAGAGGCAAAAAAGACUAAAGAUGAACUGGGCCUUGGUGGAGAAAAUGACUUGCAAGCGCUGAUUCAACGCCGAAGCAAGGAUCGAGAAAGGGAAAUGGAUGACUUCUUUGCCCACCUGGAAGCAAAAUAUGGGAAUAAUGCCAAGAAAGGAGGAAAGAAAACUGCAGCCAAGAAGAGGAAGACAUAAGGAACGAUGUAGGCUGAAGUACCAGGUCUCAUUUUGUAUGGAAACGUGGAUUUGGGAGAACUUGGGAUUGUUUCUGGGCUCCUGUUCUGGGCUGUGUGCACUGACUGGCUGUGACUGGGAGGCAUGACAAGGCAGACAAAGCAUUCCUGUGCUACUGCUUCAAACCCUUUGGGUGCUCUUCAGUUGAGAUCCACGUGUGCUGUUCACACAGUUCUUCCCUAACGAGCCUCCCCCUCUGUUUUUAAAGGUCUUUGCACAUCAGCUCAACAGGUGUUUUUCAGAUAUUCCAGUAGUUUUAUAUAGUUUGGGAAAUUGCAGAUUUAAUAAACGAGAAGGUUUUUUUGCAGAGUUCUGUGCUGUUGCUUCCCCAGUUCUUUCUGCUUGUUUUCUAAGUAGCUGUUCCAAACAAACUGAUUGUGUUGAUUCUCCUGAUUUCAGUCAAGUAAAUCCUGCACACUUCCAUUUGCAGGAUCAUUUUUCAAAGGCUUAGGAGCCACGAGGUGAGCACUUUGAAAGCCCUCAUUGCUUCAACACCAGCAUUCAGGGAGCUUCCUGGGGGGAAGCCAGAGGUAGAGGGUCACUCUGUUCCCCUUUACUUGCCUGCUCCUAAAAAUUACCCUGAUUCUGAGAGAGUACAGCAUAUCAUUGUGUUGGAUAACACAGGGCUUAAAGGUUACUUUUGUUACAGAGAAUAAAUAAAUAACAGCCCAG